AGUCAACGCUGGCGGCGUGCCUAAUACAUGCAAGUCGAACGGAGAUUAAGUAGCUUGCUAUUUAAUCUUAGUGGCGCACGGGUGAGUAAUAUAUAGCUAACUUGCCCAUUACUAAGGGACAACAGUUGGAAACGACUGCUAAUACCUUAUACUCCGUAUCUAUAUAAGUAGAUACGGGAAAGUUUUUCGGUAAUGGAUAGGGCUAUAUCGUAUCAGCUAGUUGGUAAGGUAAUGGCUUACCAAGGCUAUGACGCGUAACUGGUCUGAGAGGAUGAUCAGUCACACUGGAACUGAGACACGGUCCAGACUCCUACGGGAGGCAGCAGUAGGGAAUAUUGCUCAAUGGGGGAAACCCUGAAGCAGCAACGCCGCGUGGAGGAUGACACUUUUCGGAGCGUAAACUCCUUUUCUUGGGAAAGAAUUAUGACGGUACCCAAGGAAUAAGCACCGGCUAACUCCGUG
rnacentral:rRNA from 1 species